AGCGAACGCUGGCGGCAGGCUUAACACAUGCAAGUCGAGCGGGCGUAGCAAUACGUCAGCGGCAGACGGGUGAGUAACGCGUGGGAACGUACCUUUUGGUUCGGAACAACACAGGGAAACUUGUGCUAAUACCGGAUAAGCCCUUACGGGGAAAGAUUUAUCGCCGAAAGAUCGGCCCGCGUCUGAUUAGCUAGUUGGUGAGGUAACGGCUCACCAAGGCGACGAUCAGUAGCUGGUCUGAGAGGAUGAUCAGCCACAUUGGGACUGAGACACGGCCCAAACUCCUACGGGAGGCAGCAGUGGGGAAUAUUGGACAAUGGGGGCAACCUUGAUCCAGCCAUGCCGCGUGAGUGAUGAAGGCCCUAGGGUUGUAAAGCUCUUUUGUGCGGGAAGAUAAUGACGGUACCGCAAGAAUAAGCCCGGCUAACUUCGUG
rnacentral:rRNA from 1 species